AUUGAACGCUGGCGGCAGGCCUAACACAUGCAAGUCGAACGAGUGGCGGACGGGUGAGUAACUUCUGGGAAACUGCCUGAUGGAGGGGGAUAACUACUGGAAACGGUAGCUAAUACCGCAUACCAUCAGAUGUGCCCAGAUGGGCUUAGCUUGUUGGUGGGGUAACGGCUCACCAAGGCGACGAUCCCUGGCUGGUCUGAGAGGAUGACCAGCCACACUGGAACUGGGACGCGGUCAAGACUACUACGAGAAGCAGCAGUGGGGAAUAUUGCACGAUGGGCGCGAGCCUAAUGCAGCCAUGCCACGUGUAUAAAGAAGGCCUUCGGGUUGGAAAGUACUUUCAGCGGGGAAACGUUACCCGCGGAAGGAACACCGGCUAACUCCAUGCCAGCCACCGCGGUAAUAC
rnacentral:rRNA from 1 species